UAAGGAAUAUUGCGCAAUGGACGAAAGUCUGACGCAGCGACGCCGCGUGGGGGAUGAAGGUCUUCGGAUUGUAAACCCCUUUCGGGAGGGAAGAUGGAGUGGGUAACCACUUGGACGGUACCUCCAGAAGCAGCCACGGCUAACUUCGUGCCAGCAGCCGCGGUAAUACGAAGGUGGCAAGCGUUGUUCGGAUUCACUGGGCGUACAGGGAGCGUAGGCGGUUGGGUAAGCCCUCCGUGAAAUCUCCGGGCCUAACCCGGAAAGUGCAGAGGGGACUGCUCAGCUAGAGGAUGGGAGAGGAGCGCGGAAUUCCCGGUGUAGCGGUGAAAUGCGUAGAGAUCGGGAGGAAGGCCGGUGGCGAAGGCGGCGCUCUGGAACAUUUCUGACGCUGAGGCUCGAAAGCGUGGGGAGCAAACAGGAUUAGAUACCCCAGUAGUCCCUGAGCGGGCUGGCAAGGCGCAU
rnacentral:rRNA from 1 species